rnacentral:rRNA from 1 species
AGAUCAAAUUGUUGGUCGUGCCUUGGUACGUACUGGCAUUAUUGGUUUCUCCCUUCUGAAGAACCAUGAUGUCAUUAAUUUGGUGUCAUGGGGAAUCAGGACUGUUACUUUGAAAAAAUUAGAGUGUUUAAAGCAGGCCUACGCCUGAAUACAUUAGCAUGGCAUAAUGAAAUAGGACGUUUGAUUCUAUUUUGUUGGUUUCUAGGAUUGACGUA